rnacentral:rRNA from 1 species
UACGUAGGGUGCAAGCGUUGUCCGGAUUUAUUGGGCGUAAAGAGCUCGUAGGUGGUUUGUCGCGUUGUCCGUGAAAACUCACAACUCAAUUGUGGGCGUGCGGGCGAUACGGGCAGACUGGAGUACUGCAGGGGAGACUGGAAUUCCUGGUGUAGCGGUGGAAUGCGCAGAUAUCAGGAGGAACACCGGUGGCGAAGGCGGGUCUCUGGGCAGUAACUGACGCUGAGGAGCGAAAGCGUGGGGAGCGAACAGG